CGAUUAACUCCGCCUGUAGCUCUUAUAGAGUUACUGUCGGUCCCAAGCCCGGGUAAAAGAGGAGGGUUGG
rnacentral:ribozyme from 2 species